rnacentral:rRNA from 1 species
UGAGAACCACCCUGAACGCACGCACCCGAUCUCUCGUCUGAUCUCGGAAGCUAAGCAGGGUCGGGCCUGGUUAGUACUUGGAUGGGAGAAGUUUGGCUUUUAA